rnacentral:rRNA from 15 species
CGAGUGCCAACGUGGGCCGGUACAAUUACUUUGAACAAAUUAGAGUGCUUAAAGCAGGCUAAAUUUAAUGAAAGUUAAAACGCCUGAAUAUAUUUUGCAUGGAAUAAUGGAAUAGGACCUCUGUUCUACUUUCAUUGGUUUUUAGACCAAGAGGUAAUGAUUAAUAGAAGCAGUUGGGGACAUUAGUAUUACGGCGCGAGAGGUGAAAUUCUUAGACCGUCGUAAGACUAACUAAAGCGAAAGCAUUUGUCAAGGAUGUUUUCAUUAAUCAAGAACGAAAGUUAGAGGAUCGAAGGCGAUCAGAUACCGCCCUAGUUCUAACCAUAAACGAUGCCAGCUAGCAAUUGAAUGUAGCUACUAAUUUCGGUUCAUUCAGUCGCUUUCCGGGAAACCAAAGCUUUUGGGCUCCGGGGGAAGUAUGGUUGCAAAGCUGAAACUUAAAGGAAUUGACGGAAGGGCAC